rnacentral:rRNA from 1 species
ACUACGGGGGGCAGCAGUGAGGAAUAUUGGUCAAUGGGCGAGAGCCUGACCCAGCAACGCCGCGUGAAGGAAGAAGGCUUUCGGGUUGUAAACUUCUUUUGACAGGGAAGAGCAGAAGACGGUACCUGUCGAAUAAGCCACGGCUAACUACGUGCCAGCAGCCGCGGUAAUACGUAGGUGGCAAGCGUUGUCCGGAUUUACUGGGUGUAAAGGGCGUGUAGCCGGGCUGACAAGUCAGAUGUGAAAUCCGGGGGCUCAACCCCCGAACUGCAUUUGAAACUGUUGGUCUUGAGUAUCGGAGAGGCAGGCGGAAUUCCUAGUGUAGCGGUGAAAUGCGUAGAUAUUAGGAGGAACUCCAGUGGCGAAGGCGGCCUGCUGGACGACAACUGACGGUGAGGCGCGAAAGCGUGGGGAGCAAACAGGAUUAGAUACCCCGGUAGUC